rnacentral:lncRNA from 1 species
UGGAUUUUUGAUUGAACCGAUUUUUUGAUAAUUUAUGGUUUUACUAAAAUAUCCUUUCCUUAUAUUUCUCAAAUAUUUAUAGUCUUAUCUUUUUUUUUUGUAUUUUUGUUUUUUCAGUAUUGUUUGCCGCUUUUUUUUUUGACAAUUUUUUUUUCUUGAAAAAUAUAUAUUUUUUAAUUGUUUUUUUCGAAUUUUGUUAAUUUUAUAUUAAAAUAUCAUUUCUUAAAUUCCUCAACUACUUUUAAUCUUAUCCUAUUUAUUUAGUAUUUUAGUUUUUUCCCUAUUUUUUCG